rnacentral:rRNA from 1 species
AUGGCGCAGAGCACACUGCCGAGAAGCUGCAGAGCCUGGCCUCCCCCGACGACGAGUUCGAGAACGAGGGUCAUGGCGGCACCGGGCCUCCCCGAGGCGGACUUCAGGAAGGCGCUGGACUCGGCGCUCUUCAGGCGGUGGCUGGAGAGCCUGCAGGCGGAGAAGGGCCUGCUUGCCCACGGGAAGCUCAGCCUCCGCCAGAUCCUCAUCCAGGGGGUGGACAUGUUCGGGCAGCGCGUGGGAUUCCUCAAGUUCAAGGCCGACAUCAUGGACGAGAAAACCCAAGCCAAGAUUCCAGGGAUUUUCUUUGCAAGAGGGCCUGCUGUUGCUGUGUUGAUCCUUUUGCAGUCCAAAGGGCAAACUUAUGUUGUUCUUACUGAACAGGCUAGAGUUCCUAUUGGGAAGUUUAUAUUGGAGCUACCAGCUGGAAUGCUAGAUGAUGAAAACGGCGACUUUGUUGGCACCGCAGUCCGAGAGGUUCACAAGGCAUAUACCAAUCUUGCUGCCACUGCCAGGAAUCCGACGAGUUCCAUAAGCUGUCUGGAUCUUCGUACUCUUGCUGUGCUGGCAAACUCCACCCUGUCCAGCUCAAGGUUGGAAUGUCUAUUGACCCAAAGCUGUUUCAAAGAUGUUUCUGUCAAACUUCCCAGCAGUCUCUUUGAUAUUAGGUCUCUUAAUUAUUGGAAAGACACUGGUAGUAACAUUUAUUGGUAG